AAUUCAUGCUACAUGAUGCAGAAGAAUUUUGUAUCAAGAUAUAAAGAAAAUUAUAUAGUAAUUGACAUUGGCAUAAUAUAUAAGAUUAACUAUCUAAUAGCAGUCAUUCUUCCCCUUGUCAUGGUUUGCUAAGCAUAAGAUCCUUUGAUGGUUUUGAAGUCACGCCGGAUGUCUCUUCUUUUCCCUUCCCUUUGUCUAGGUUUGCUGAGCAUAAAAUCUUUUGAUGAAUGAAAGCUUCCUGCAAAUCAAAGGGGCAUGGGGUUCAUAGAUUGCCUUGGCGAACGCUUUUUGGCACAGCAUGCUGGAGCUUGUGGAAUCGAUGAAACAAUUGUAUUUUCUGGGAUGAUUGGACUCUUUUGUCCAUUCUUCCAUCCAUGAUGUGUACGAAAACCAGAGUGCAUGUUUCUGUGCAGGAAAAGCUCAGUGAAGGUGAUGGCUACGCUGGUCACGGGGAGGAUUGGAUUGCGUAGACACUCCCGCCAGUUGAAUGGUUUAAGUUGAAUUGUUGGUACAUAUAUACAAGGCUAAUGGGGGAGGUAUAAUUCGAGAUAACAAUGGCAAAUGGGUGAGGGGCUUCGUUGCAUUAUAGGGAAAUUUCUGUGCUGGGAUCUGAGCUAUAGGCUGCUUGUGAAGGUAUUCUUCUAGCUUGGAAUGAAGGGAUUCCCCAACUCAUGCUAGAAAGUGAAA
rnacentral:misc_RNA from 1 species